rnacentral:rRNA from 1 species
UGAAUGCUAAAAGAAUGGAAAUUUAAAAAAAAACUUUUUUAAAAAUAAAAAUUGAAUUUUUUUUAAUUUGUGCAAAAACAAUUAUUAUUAUAAAGACAAGAAGACCCUAAGAAUUUAUGAUUUUGCAAUUAGAAUUUUUUUCAAAAAAUCUUGAUUGGGGCGAUCAAAAAAUAUUAAUAACUUUUUAAAUUUAAAUUGAUCUAUUAUUAAUAAACUAAUGAAUUAAAUACUCUAGGGAUAACAGCGUAAUAAUUUUUGAUAGAUCUUAUUGACAAAAUAGUUUGCGACCUCGAUGUUGGAUUAGGAUCCUUUUUUAAUGAAGAAGUUAAAAAAAGAAGUUUGUUCAACUUUUAAAUUCCUACUUGAU